rnacentral:rRNA from 1 species
UACGUAGGGGGCAAGCGUUGUCCGGAUUUAUUGGGCGUAAAGAGCGUGUAGGCGGUUUGGUAGGUCCGCUGUGAAAACUCGAGGCUCAACCUCGAGACGCCGGUGGAAACCAUCAGGCUAGAGUCCGGAAGAGGAGAGUGGAAUUCCUGGUGUAGCGGUGAAAUGCGCAGAUAUCAGGAAGAACACCCGUGGCUAAGGCGGCUCUCUAGUACGGUACUGACGCUGAGACGCGAAAGCGUGGGGAGCGAAGCAGG